UACGAGGGGAGCAAGCGUUGGUCGGAUUUACUGGGCGUAAAGGGCGCGUAGGCGGCUCAACAAGUCACUUGUGAAAUCUCCGGGCUUAACUCGGAACGGUCAAGUGAUACUGUCGAGCUAGAGUACAGAAGGGGCAACUGGAAUUCUCGGUGUAGCGGUGAAAUGCGUAGAUAUCGAGAGGAACACCUGCGGCGAAGGCGGGUUGCUGGGCUGAUACUGACGCUGAGGCGCGAAAGCCAGGGGAGCGAACGGG
rnacentral:rRNA from 1 species